UCGAAAAAGCCAAACCUGCCGCGAGGCAGGGACGGAAAGCCACGGAUCUCCCAGAGAUAGCCGGGUUGCCAA
rnacentral:ncRNA from 1 species